UCCUGGUUAACCCAGGCAGUCUCAUUAGAGUUCCCACCUUAAGUGUUGGCAACUAAUGAUAAGGGUUGCGCUCGUUGCUGGACUUAACCAAACACCUCACGGCACGAGCUGACGACAGCCAUGCAGCACCUGUGCACAGACCCCGAAAGGCUAUAUCAUCUCUGAUAUAUUCCUGUGCAUGUCAAGCCUGGGUAAGGUUCUUCGCGUUGCAUCGAAUUAAACCACAUGCUCCACUGCUUGUGCGGGUCCCCGUCAAUUCUUUUGAGUUUCAGCCUUGCGACUGUACUCCCCAGGCGGUAUACUUAUCGCGUUAGCUUCGGCACAACCAGGGUUGAGUCCAGUUACACCAAGUAUACAUCGUUUACGGCAAGGACUAC
rnacentral:misc_RNA from 1 species